ACACUGGUGAGGAGUCCCACAAUAGGACGAAACAGCUGUCCAGUGC
rnacentral:hammerhead_ribozyme from 1 species